UUUCACAAUCUGCUUAACAAAUUCAACAAUAGACAACGUUGAUGACAGCAAAUGCACGAAAGUACCUAACCCAAUCGGCAACGGCGAAACCAGAUCUUUCCCAUUUGGGUCCGCUGGACAGAUCGUUUUCAUAGAAAAAGAUGAAGAAUCGACUGGACCGUUGACACUUUGCGAAGUACAGGUGUUUGUUAACGUCUGUUCCACGUCAACAACGAUGGAAUCCACGGAAUUAACGCAAAAAACAGAGUCUUCUACUUUCGGAACACCAUCAAGUUGUCCUCCCUGUGAAUGCAAUUGCCGAGCGAACGCCACUACCCCAAAAACCAAAGAGGAACUGGAGGAGCAGAUUAAAACUCUCAAGAGAGAGCUAACCAUCGAUAAGAAACAGACAAGCGCAAACAAAAGGAAGUUGAUAUCUGCACCUGAUGACCGCACGUCCUCGAAGUAUAUCGGAGUUGUUGGUGUAAUAAUGUUAUGUUUUCCCGUAGUUGUCAUUGUGACCAUGGACAUUUCUCGACUUGCAUCCUGGUUGCAUAGCAACAAAAUUGGCAUUAAAGCUAAGGUAUAAUACAGUGUAAUGAUUUUUUUUACUAAAACCUGCUUUUGUUUAGAUAUAUAUCCUACAAGUAGGAUGUAAAUAUUGUGCUUACCUCCCCAUCGCACGAGGUGAAUAAAUGUGGGAUUUCCAAAUGGCCUAAGAAACAAAUACUAUAAACGUGGAACUGUACGCGAGGGUGAAAAUUACGCUAAAUACGCAGAGUCCUUUUAAUCGCGAAAAUUUCCCCCACCCGUAUUAUUUGAUAUCAAUUUGCGUAAUCUCGAGCUACAAAUGGAAAUAGCGAAGAUGUAUCGAUCGCAAAAACUACAGUGUACCACACGCGUAUAGUGUACAUAUCGAUAUCGUGAAUUUAACCCUCGCGAAAAUUAUCGCGAAUUUAACCCCCGCGAAAAUAAUCACGUUUACAGUACAUUUUCUGAGGAUCUAAAAUACAACUUCUUAUUGUAGUUCAUUCGUAAUUAUUUGCUAAAAAAUAUCUCCAAACAGUAUAAAAUAAGUUGCCCAAAAUUAAUGAUCAGGAAUUUUGUGUAAAGUAAUUG